rnacentral:rRNA from 1 species
CCUACGGGUGGCUGCAGUGGGGAAUAUUGGGCAAUGGGCGCAAGCCUGACCCAGCAACGCCGCGUGAAGGAAGAAGGCUUUCGGGUUGUAAACUUCUUUUCUGAGGGACGAAGAAAGUGACGGUACCUCAGGAAUAAGCCACGGCUAACUACGUGCCAGCAGCCGCGGUAAUACGUAGGUGGCAAGCGUUAUCCGGAUGUAUUGGGUGUAAAGGGCGUGUAGGCGGGAAAGCAAGUCAGAUGUGAAAACUCAGGGCUCAACCCUGAGCCUGCAUUGGAAACUGUUUUUCUUGAUUGCUGGAGAGAAAAUCGGAAUUCCGUGGGUAGCGGUGAAAGGCGUAGAUAUACGGAGGAACACCAGUGGCGAAGGCGGAUUGCUGGACAGUAACUGACGCUGAGGCGCGAAAGCGUGGGGAGCAAACAGGAUUAGAUACCCCAGUAGUC